CAAGAUGAAGCUUAAAGCGAUUUAUUUACAUUAAAUAGUACUUUGGACCCAAAGCGUUUUGA
rnacentral:tRNA from 1 species